UACGGAGGGUGCGAGCGUUGUCCGGAAUCAUUGGGCGUAAAGGGCGCGUAGGUGGCCCGGUCAGUCCGUGGUGAAAGCGCGGGGCUCAACCCUGCGUCGGCCAUGGAUACUGCCGCGGCUCGAGCACUGUAGAGGCAGGCGGAAUUCCGGGUGUAGCGGUGGAAUGCGUAGAGAUCCGGAAGGAACGCCCGUGGCGAAAGCGAGGUCCUGGACCCUUUCUGACGCUGAGACGCGAAAGCCAGGGGAGCGAACGGG
rnacentral:rRNA from 1 species